CACAAGGUUGUUUUAACAACCAAAAAUUAAUAAAACAUAUUAAUA
rfam:Loxodonta africana unplaced genomic scaffold scaffold_26, whole genome shotgun sequence.